GACGAACGCUGGCGGCGUGCCUAAUACAUGCAAGUCGAGCGCAGGAAGCCGACGGAACCCUUCGGGGGGAAGUCGACGGAAUGAGCGGCGGACGGGUGAGUAACACGUAAAGAACCUGCCCUCAGGUCUGGGAUAACCACGAGAAAUCGGGGCUAAUACCGGAUGGGUCAUCGGACCGCAUGGUCCGAGGAUGAAAGGCGCUCCGGCGUCGCCUGGGGAUGGCUUUGCGGUGCAUUAGCUAGUUGGUGGGGUAAUGGCCCACCAAGGCGACGAUGCAUAGCCGACCUGAGAGGGUGAUCGGACACACUGGGACUGAGACACGGCCCAGACUCCUACGGGAGGCAGCAGUAGGGAAUCUUCCACAAUGGACGAAAGUCUGAUGGGGCAACGCCGCGUGAACGAUGAAGGCCUUCGGGUCGUAAAGUUCUGUUGUAAGGGAAGAACAAGUGCCGCAGGCAAUGGCGGCACCUUGACGGUACCUUGCGAGAAAGCCACGGCUAACUACGUGCCAGCCGCCGCCGUAAUAC
rnacentral:rRNA from 1 species